ACGCUGGCGGCAGGCCUAACACAUGCAAGUCGAGCGGUAGAGAGAAGCUUGCUUCUCUUGAGAGCGGCGGCCGGGUGAGUAAUGCCUAGGAAUCUGCCUGGUAGUGGGGGAUAACGUUCGGAAACGGACGCUAAUACCGCAUACGUCCUACGGGAGAAAGCAGGGGACCUUCGGGCCUUGCGCUAUCAGAUGAGCCUAGGUCGGAUUAGCUAGUUGGUGAGGUAAUGGCUCACCAAGGCGACGAUCCGUAACUGGUCUGAGAGGAUGAUCAGUCACACUGGAACUGAGACACGGUCCAGACUCCUACGGGAGGCAGCAGUGGGGAAUAUUGGACAAUGGGCGUAAGCCUGAUCCAGCCAUGCCGCGUGUGUGAAGAAGGUCUUCGGAUUGUAAAGCACUUUAAGUUGGGAGGAAGGGUUGUAGAUUAAUACUCUGCAAUUUUGACGUUACCGACAGAAUAAGCACCGGCUAACUCUGUGCCAGCAGCCGCGGUAAUACAGAGGGUGCAAGCGUUAAUCGGAAUUACAGGGCGUAAAGCGCGCGUAGGUGGUUUGUUAAGUUGGAUGUGAAAUCCCCGGGCUCAACCUGGGAACUGCAUUCAAAACUGACUGACUAGAGUAUGGUAGAGGGUGGUGGAAUUUCCUGUGUAGCGGUGAAAUGCGUAGAUAUAGGAAGGAACACCAGUGGCGAAGGCGACCACCUGGACUAAUACUGACACUGAGGUGCGAAAGCGUGGGGAGCAAAC
rnacentral:rRNA from 1 species